rnacentral:rRNA from 1 species
AGCGAACGCUGGCGGCAGGCUUAACACAUGCAAGUCGAGCGGGCACUUCGGUGUCAGCGGCAGACGGGUGGGUAACACGUGGGAACGUGCCCUUCGGUUCGGAAUAACUCAGGGAAACUUGAGCUAAUACCGGAUACGCCCUUAUGGGGAAAGGUUUACUGCCGAAGGAUCGGCCCGCGUCUGAUUAGCUAGUUGGUGAGGUUACGGCUCACCAAGGCGACGAUCAGUAGCUGGUCUGAGAGGAUGAUCAGCCACACUGGGACUGAGACACGGCCCAGACUCCUACGGGAGGCAGCAGUGGGGAAUAUUGGACAAUGGGGGCAACCCUGAUCCAGCCAUGCCGCGUGAGUGAUGACGGCCUUAGGGUUGUAAAGCUCUUUUCUCCGGGACGAUAAUGACGGUACCGGAGGAAUAAGCCCCGGCUAACUUCGUGCCAGCAGCCGCGGUAA